UGCUGGAGGUAUCAGAAGUGCGAAUGCUGACAUAAGUAACGAUAAAGCGGGUGAAAAGCCCGCUCGCCGGAAGACCAAGGGUUCCUGUCCAACGUUAAUCGGGGCAGGGUGAGUCGACCCCUAAGGCGAGGCCGAAAGGCGUAGUCGAUGGGAAACGGGUUAAUAUUCCCGUACUUGGUGUUACUGCGAAGGGGGGACGGAGAAGGCUAUGUUGGCCGGGCGACGGUUGUCCCGGUUUAAGCGUGUAGGUGUGUGUUCCAGGUAAAUCCGGUUCACUUUAACACUGAGGCGUGAUGACGAGGCACUACGGUGCUGAAGCAACAAAUGCCCUGCUUCCAGGAAAAGCCUCUA
rnacentral:rRNA from 1 species